UGGGGAAUAUUGGACAAUGGGGGCAACCCUGAUCCAGCAAUGCCGCGUGUGUGAAGAAGGUCUUCGGAUUGUAAAGCACUUUCGACGGGGACGAUGAUGACGGUACCCGUAGAAGAAGCCCCGGCUAACUUCGUGCCAGCAGCCGCGGUAAUACGAAGGGGGCUAGCGUUGCUCGGAAUGACUGGGCGUAAAGGGCGUGUAGGCGGUUUACACAGUCAGAUGUGAAAUCCCCGGGCUUAACCUGGGAGCUGCAUUUGAUACGUGUAGACUAGAGUGUGAGAGAGGGUUGUGGAAUUCCCAGUGUAGAGGUGAAAUUCGUAGAUAUUGGGAAGAACACCGGUGGCGAAGGCGGCAACCUGGCUCAUUACUGACGCUGAGGCGCGAAAGCGUGGGGAGCAAACAGGAUUAGAUACCCUGGUAGUCCACGCUGUAAACGAUGUGUGCUAGAUGUUGGGUAACUUUGUUAUUCU
rnacentral:rRNA from 1 species